rnacentral:rRNA from 1 species
GACGAACGCUGGCGGCGUGCCUAAUACAUGCAAGUUGAGCGAUGAAGAUUGGUGCUUGCACCAAUUUGAAGAGCAGCGAACGGGUGAGUAACGCGUGGGGAAUCUGCCUUUGAGCGGGGGACAACAUUUGGAAACGAAUGCUAAUACCGCAUAACAACUUUAAACAUAAGUUUUAAGUUUGAAAGAUGCAAUCGCAUCACUCAAAGAUGAUCCCGCGUUGUAUUAGCUAGUUGGUGAGGUAAAGGCUCACCAAGGCGAUGAUACAUAGCCGACCUGAGAGGGUGAUCGGCCACAUUGGGACUGAGACACGGCCCAAACUCCUACGGGAGGCAGCAGUAGGGAAUCUUCGGCAAUGGACGAAAGUCUGACCGAGCAACGCCGCGUGAGUGAAGAAGGGUGUCGGAUCGUAAAACUCUGUUGGUAGAGAAGAACGUUGGUGAGAGUGGAAAGCUCAUCAAGUGACGGUAACUACCCAGAAAGGGACGGCUAACUACGUG